GGUACCCUACUUGUGGGUAAAGUGUACAACCUCUUCAGAGUUAAAACCUAUCCGGGUAGCCAUGUCCACAGUAUUGGACGAGUUACGGCUUGGUCACAUGACUAGUGUUUGGGAGAUGGAUGAUUUUCAUGGUGUGUGUUAAAUUUUGGAAGUGUUCGGCAGUUGUGCCAUGAGCUACUGCAGAUGGGGAGUCCGGUAGCAUUAAAACUUGGAUUCUUA
rnacentral:lncRNA from 1 species